rnacentral:tRNA from 1 species
GGAGGGCUGGCCGAAUGGCUAAGGCAGCGGUCUUGAAAACCGCCGUCGCGCGAGCGACUUCAGGGUUCGAGUCCCUGGCCCUCCGC